rnacentral:lncRNA from 1 species
UUUGUUUUGGUGUUUGUCUCCCAAAAGUACCAUAGACGUCAAGCUUGAUCUUUCGUUUUCAGUUUUCUUGACGUUGUUUGCUCUAUAAAUAGAUUAUUAGAAGAAGCGUGUUGUAAAUACUAUCACAGAUAACUAACCUAGUAAAGAGACAGAAUCAAGGAACAUCAUUACGUGAGGAUGGAUUCGGAGGUGAUGCGAGAAGGUCGUUUGCUGGACAUCAUCGAUGACCAAUGGAGGAUGGACAAGCUUCCUAACGAUGACAUCGAGAUACCUCCAAACCAGCUUCCAAAUGAUAUGGAUGGAGGGAAGGAAGAAGGAGGGAAGAAAGCAGAAGAGCGAUGGACGGAUCUUGCACUUCAUAACCUCACAGCUUCACAAACUUCAAACCAGGGUAGCUGAGCAUUUGUACAUUCUCAUGACGUGAAAGACAGUGAAUGGGACUAAGAUAUGAUUGAAGCCUAACAGACCAUGAGCUGAAGGACUGAUGUGACACUCAUCACGCCAGAAACAGCGUGUGGGACUGAAAAAUGUAUUAGUAGGUUCUCUUUUAAUCGCAUAACAGACAAAGUUAGCUCAGCAGUUGAACUGAGACAAGGUCCUUGAUAUAAAAGACAGUGAAUAGGAUCAAGAAAUUAAUAGAGGAGUGUUGGAUAGAUCUUGCUCUUCAAACCUAGAUACACGAUACACGAUGCAAGAUACACGUAGCUGAAAGAAUUGUAGUCCGAUUUUACACUCAUGACAUGAAAUGCAGUGCAUGGGACUGGUAGAUAAUGGUGGGAGCAAUAGAGAGAUCAUGUUCAUUGUAACCAGCAUGUAACUGUAACCAGACGGCGUUUGAUCUUAAUAACAUGAAAGACAUAGUGUGGGACUUAUGCAGGCGUCCAUUUGAAGCCUAGACCCACACUCCUCAAGUCAUCACCUUUCUUCACCUGUUCCAACGUGCAGAUUUACUAAAUUAUAAAUGUUUAAAAAAUGUAUGACUCAGGAGGGUCUUUUUCUUUUAGAUGAUCUGUAAUACUAUGCUCACCGUAAUAUAUAAGGACUAUUGCCCCAAGGGAGAAGGCACUUGGGGGUAAAACAGAAAUUAAUUAUGAUUUUGUACAUAACAAACGUGAGAGUUGUCUAUGACUAUGUCACAAUCCACUAACCAAAUUGCUACUUUGAGAUCCCCAUAGCUAUAGUGAUCUCAUUUUUCAAGCAUUUACAACUUUCUUAUAAUUGGUCCAAUUAAUUCAAAUGUUCACCGUUCUGUUAUCUUAUUUCUGUUUUCAUACGAUUGAAUUUAUUAAAAAGGAAGGAUUGCCCUUUAAUAUGAAGUAGAUCAUUACUGUACUCAAAAGAGGUCAUUGACAUCGGUAAUAUGUUGGAUAAUUAAUAUACCUUUGUAUUUCAGAAAUAAUACAACAAGUGGUUUCGACAGGCAUGUAGUGUAGACGUUAUCAUUCAUAGAAAAGAAAAAUAAAUAAAUAAAUAAAUAAUGAUAUCUGAACAGAG